rnacentral:rRNA from 1 species
AUUGAACGCUGGCGGCAGGCCUAACACAUGCGAGUCGAGCGGAUGAAGGGAGCUUGCUCCUGGAUUCAGCGGCGGACGGGUGAGUAAUGCCUAGGAAUCUGCCUGGUAGUGGGGGAUAACGUCCGGAAACGGGCGCUAAUACCGCAUACGUCCUGAGGGAGAAAGUGGGGGAUCUUCGGACCUCACGCUAUCAGAUGAGCCUAGGUCGGAUUAGCUAGUUGGUGGGGUAAAGGCCUACCAAGGCGACGAUCCGUAACUGGUCUGAGAGGAUGAUCAGUCACACUGGAACUGAGACACGGUCCAGACUCCUACGGGAGGCAGCAGUGGGGAAUAUUGGACAAUGGGCGAAAGCCUGAUCCAGCCAUGCCGCGUGUGUGAAGAAGGUCUUCGGAUUGUAAAGCACUUUAAGUUGGGAGGAAGGGCAGUAAGUUAAUACCUUGCUGUUUUGACGUUACCAACAGAGUAAGCACCGGCUAACUUCGUG